rnacentral:rRNA from 1 species
UACGUAGGGUGCAAGCGUUAAUCGGAAUUACUGAGCGUAAAGCGUGCGCAGGUGGUUUUGUAAGUCUGUCGUGAAAUCCCCGGGCUCAACCUGGGAAUGGCGAUGGAGACUGCAAGGCUAGAGUUUGGCAGAGGGGGGUAGAAUUCCACGUGUAGCAGUGAAAUGCGUAGAUAUGUGGAGGAACACCGAUGGCGAAGGCAGCCCCCUGGGUCAAAACUGACGCUCAUGCACGAAAGCGUGGGGAGCAAACAGG